rnacentral:rRNA from 1 species
UGAGUUUGAUCAUGGCUCAGGAUGAACGCUGGCGGUGUGCCUAAUACAUGCAAGUCGAACGCACAAUUUUAGAAAGCUUGCUUUUUAAGAGAGUGAGUGGCGAACGGGUGAGUAAGACAUAAAUAAUCUGCCCUGAUGACUGGGAUAACUUUUGGAAACGAAAGCUAAUACUGGAUGGUAUAUCUAUUGGAAGCAACUGAUAUGAAAAGGAUGGUUUACGCCAUCGCAUUGGGAUGAGUUUAUGGUGCAUUAGCUAGUUGGUGGGGUAAGGGCCUACCAAGGCGAUGAUGCAUAGCCGGCCUGAGAGGGUGACCGGCCACACUGGGACUGAGACACGGCCCAGACUCCUACGGGAGGCAGCAGUAGGGAAUUUUCGGCAAUGGAGGAAACUCUGACCGAGCGACACCGCGUGAGUGAAGAAGGUCUUCGGAUCGUAAAGCUCUGUUAUCAGGGAAGAAGAGGUCUACCAGGCAAUGGGUAGAUUGUGACGGUACCUGAUCAGAAAGUCACGGCUAACUACGUGCCAGCAGCCGCGGUAAUACGUAGGUGACAAGCGUUAUCCGGAAUUAUUGGGCGUAAAGGGUGCGUAGGCGGCCUCUUAAGUAUAAGGUUAAAGUUCAGAGCUCAACUCUGUGAUGCCUUGUAAACUGGGAGGCUUGAGUACAGGAGAGGUGAGUGGAAUUCCAUGUGUAGCGGUAAAAUGCGUAGAGAUAUGGAGGAACACCAGUGGCGAAGGCGGCUCACUGGCCUGUAACUGACGCUGAAGCACGAAAGCGUGNGGAGCAAAUANGAUUAGAUACCCUAGUAGUCCACGCCGUAAACGAUGAAUACUAAGUGUUGGAGUAACAUUCAGUGCUGCAGUUAACGCAAUAAGUAUUCCGCCUGGGGAGUAUGCACGCAAGUGUGAAACUCAAAGGAAUUGACGGGGGCCCGCACAAGCGGUGGAGUAUGUUGUUUAAUUCGAAGCAACGCGAAGAACCUUACCAGGUCUUGACAUGGCUCUAAAAGCCCUAGAGAUAGGGUGCUAGUUAUAGAGCACACAGGUGGUGCAUGGUUGUCGUCAGCUCGUGUCGUGAGAUGUUGGGUUAAGUCCCGCAACGAGCGCAACCCUUGUCGUUAGUUACCAUCAUUAAGUUGGGGACUCUAGCGAGACUGCCGGUGACAAACCGGAGGAAGGUGGGGAUGACGUCAAAUCAUCAUGCCCCUUAUGACCUGGGCUACAAACGUACUACAAUGGCGAGAACAACGGGAAGCGAUGUGGUGACACAAAGCGAAUCUCUGAAAACUCGUCUCAGUUCGGAUCGAAGUCUGCAACUCGACUUCGUGAAGUUGGAAUCGCUAGUAAUCGCGGAUCAGCAUGCCGCGGUGAAUACGUUCUCGGGCCUUGUACACACCGCCCGUCAAACCAUGAGAGUUGGUAAUACCCGAAGCCAGUGGCCUAACCCGUAAGGGAGGGAGCUGUCGAAGGUAGGAUCGAUGAUUGGGGUUAAGUCGUAACAAGGUAACA